rnacentral:rRNA from 1 species
UACGUAGGGUGCAAGCGUUGUCCGGAAUUAUUGGGCGUAAAGAGCUCGUAGGCGGUUUGUCGCGUCUGCUGUGAAACUCGGGGCUUAACCCGGCCUGCAGUGGGUACGGGCAGACUAGAGUGCGGUAGGGGAGACUGGAAUUCCUGGUGUAGCGGUGAAAUGCGCAGGAUAUCAGGAGGAACACCGGUGGCGAAGGCGGGUCUCUGGGCCGUAACUGACGCUGAGGAGCGAAAGCGUGGGAGCGAACAGG